rnacentral:rRNA from 1 species
GACGAACGCUGGCGGCAUGCCUAACACAUGCAAGUCGAACGAGACCUUCGGGUCUAGUGGCGCACGGGUGCGUAACGCGUGGGAACCUGCCCUUAGGUUCGGAACAACUCCCCGAAAGGGGUGCUAAUACCGGAUAAUGUCUUCGGACCAAAGAUUUAUCGCCUUUGGAUGGGCCCGCGUUGGAUUAGCUAGUUGGUAGGGUAAAAGCCUACCAAGGCGACGAUCCAUAGCUGGUCUGAGAGGAUGAUCAGCCACACUGGGACUGAGACACGGCCCAGACUCCUACGGGAGGCAGCAGUGGGGAAUAUUGGACAAUGGGCGAAAGCCUGAUCCAGCAAUGCCGCGUGAGUGAUGAAGGCCUUAGGGUUGUAAAGCUCUUUUACCCGGGAUGAUAAUGACAGUACCGGGAGAAUAAGCUCCGGCUAACUCCGUG